UGGGGAAUAUUGCGCAAUGGGGGGAACCCUGACGCAGCCAUGCCGCGUGAAUGAAGAAGGCCUUAGGGUUGUAAAGUUCUUUCGGUAUUGAGGAAGGUUGAUGUGUUAAUAGCACAUCAAAUUGACGUUAAAUACAGAAGAAGCACCGGCUAACUCCGUGCCAGCAGCCGCGGUAAUACGGAGGGUGCGAGCGUUAAUCGGAAUAACUGGGCGUAAAGGGCACGCAGGCGGUUAUUUAAGUGAGGUGUGAAAGCCCCGGGCUUAACCUGGGAAUUGCAUUUCAGACUGGGUAACUAGAGUACUUUAGGGAGGGGUAGAAUUCCACGUGUGGCGGUGAAAUGCGUAGAGAUGUGGAGGAAUACCGAAGGCGAAGGCAGCCCCUUGGGAAUGUACUGACGCUCAUGUGCGAAAGCGUGGGGAGCAAGCAGGAUUAGAUACCCUGGUAGUCCACGCUGUAAACGCUGUCGAUUUGGGGGUUGGGGUUUAACUCUGGCGCCCGUAGCUAACGUGAUAAAUCGACCGCCUGGGGAGUUACGNCNNNGCAAGGUUA
rnacentral:rRNA from 1 species